CGGAGCUAAGGUGGGCGGUGUCUGGCGGAGAUGCUGCCCCUCCCGCCACAACACCCUGGUACACCCUUCCAUUCCCCCCUCCAGGCUGUUUAGCAAUCAUCACUGGGCGUACCUGAAGUUCCCAAGAACUAGGAGCCUGAUAAUGGAAACAUCUGGACACCCACAAAGCAUAUCGCGCCAUGUGACAGAGGACAAGGAAGAGAAGCAGACGAACAACACAGAUAACAUCGAUCACCAGCAGACCAGAUGCACUCAAGACACACCUGAUGAGAUGCUCACUGGGGACUACACACAUGUCAAAGAGUGACAUUACACUUCUCUUAAUUAUAUUUACUAUGAUUGCCCUGA